UAUGUCAGCCUCACAUCUGGUGUAUUCCUUUUGCUUAAGUUUCAGCUCUUUGUACUCAAGUUUAAGGUCUCUGAUAUGAGCCAAGCAAAAAAAUAAUCACCCAUUGUUGAAAUUAAAUAGAAAAUAAAAGUUGUCAAGAGCAGCAGUUAAUAAGUUAGUUUGAAAAUGACAAGACUGGUAGGUACCUGCUAUUUGGAUCAAGAAUCAGAGCUCUUUUAAUGUCAGCCUCAGCUUUCUUUAAGUCUGAUGUCUUCAGAGGAUGAAGAGAGACAAAAGGACAAAGAGAAAAAUACUCAACAUAGCCUAAGAGGAUACCUUUGAGCAUAGUCUGGAAGCUUCAGUGUACUCCCCCAGUUUAAGUUUACAGGCAGCUUUGUUCAAAUUGCAGGAUAAUCGUAACGAAUUAGCAUGACGCUUCUCAUCUUCAUUGAAUGAGUGAUCAAACUCAAUGUAUUUUACAGCCUAUAACAUCAAUGAUGACUGUUCUGUUAGAACCCUUGUUAAGUGGCACUGAGAUCCUUUUAUGCAAGAUUUAUCAAGGCUCAUCAUACAUUAGCUUGUAAAUUGUAAGUUA